GUUGGCAGGCUGGUUGGUACUAGCUUGGAGGUGGUUUUCAGAUACACCUGUGAGUUUCCAGGGCUUUAGCAAAAAGCUAUAAUGGCCUCUGGCCUGGAUUUGAGUCACCUUCUUGCAUGUACUCUUCAACAUACUUGGUCAUUCCUUCUGCCUGAGGACCAAGAACUCCAGCUUCAGAGCCCUCACAGCCCAGUGUCCAGUCCUGUUUCAUGGAUCUACUGAGAUACAGAAUUUUCAAAUGAAAAGUUAUUUUCAAAGUGAUUGUCUUACUGCUGUUAAUUGAAAACUUAGCAUUCUGGGGGGAAAAGAAUCACGGCUACAAUCAGUCUACCUGAAAUCAUGGAAAGAAGAUUCCACACCAUGAAUUUCCAGUGGCUUGACAGUGGCAUUUCAUGUAGGACCUGUGAGCUAGAGUUCAUUCAGCGUUAACAGUUACAAGAUUAGCUUGUGGUACUGCUCUUGUUACUUCCUCUCUAGACCGUAUUGUGUUUCCUGUGGCAAUCUUUGUCUUCACCACAAGUGCUUUCGGAAGUACAGAGGGUAAAACUGAUUUAAAAGUGUUAUGAGUUAGCAGAUUCAGUUCUGUUGAUUAAAAGCCAGGCAGCAAGAAGUAUUCUGCCUCGUGACCUUGUGGUGAUAACCAGAGAGCAGUGUGCAGUGUACUUUCCCAGCUAAUUAAGUAACUUGGCUAAAAAACAAGGAAGCCGCCAAAGGCUGGGAUGAGUGUUAACUGAAAUUAAUGGUAGAAAGUUAAUAUUAAUGAGCUGAAAACUUGAAGCUAACUUUGAGAAAAUAGGGUGUUACAAAAUGCAAUGAAGGUUAGAUUAAGAGUACAAUGCAAAGUUUUAUUGCGUAGCUACACCUGUGCUUAAAGUCGUAUCAAAUGCUAGCAUAGUUCUACUUGCACUAAAAAGAGCCUUGUGUAACAGCACUUGAAACCAUCCAGCAAGAUCUGCAGAAAGAAAAAAAAUAAAGAAUUCUGGCAUCUCCUACACCAUUUGGGAAAGAUGGUUUAACUCCCUGUACAGAUGUUGGUUUCGUUUUUGUAGACCAGGCUUGCCUGAUACAGCUUUACUAUGUAGGUACCUCAGCAAAACCUUUGUCUUGCUAAGGAUUAAUUCAUUAGGUAAGAAGUUGAGAAGAAUUUCUCUCCUUUGUCGUUUACUUAGCCAUCAAAUUAAAAAAUAACAAAGCUAUCAUGUAACUUCUAAAUCAAAUGCAGGCUUAGGGGUGCUUGCAAUGUCAGAUGAUAGGGGUAUGAGAUUGCUUCUAUUUAAGUUGCUUCCAGAAACAGUGGCUUUAAAUCUGAAGGCAAUUCUUUGUGGGCCAGAUUUAUAGGCUGUCUAGUCAGGGAACUAAAAAGAAUGUCCAGAAUCAUGAAACUUUGCACAGCUUUUGGAUUUUUAAGAUAAGUUUGUGAUCUUGUCAGCAGCCAACAAACAAAAACCCUUAAUACUAUAAUGUCUUUUGUAUGUAAAUUCUAACUUGGGUGUGUGAAAUUUUGAAAUCUAGUCAGUUUAUAGGUAGCUUGACGCAGGUGAGGGAGAGUGGGAGCAUGUUCCACUGAAGCUAUUUUAUUUUAUUUUAUUUUAUUUUAUUUUAUUUUAUUUUAUUUUAUUUUAUUUUAUUUUAUUUUAUUUUAUUUUAUUUUAUUUUAUUUUAUUU
ensembl:lncRNA